rnacentral:rRNA from 1 species
UAGGGAAUCUUCCGCAAUGGGCGAAAGCCUGACGGAGCAACGCCGCGUGAGUGAUGAAGGUCUUCGGAUCGUAAAACUCUGUUAUUAGGGAAGAACAAAUGUGUAAGUAACUAUGCACGUCUUGACGGUACCUAAUCAGAAAGCCACGGCUAACUACGUGCCAGCAGCCGCGGUAAUACGUAGGUGGCAAGCGUUAUCCGGAAUUAUUGGGCGUAAAGCGCGCGUAGGCGGUUUUUUAAGUCUGAUGUGAAAGCCCACGGCUCAACCGUGGAGGGUCAUUAGAAACUGGAAAACUUGAGUGCAGAAGAGGAAAGUGGAAUUCCAUGUGUAGCGGUGAAAUGCGCAGAGAUAUGGAGGAACACCAGUGGCGAAGGCGACUUUCUGGUCUGUAACUGACGCUGAUGUGCGAAAGCGGGGGGAUCAAACAGG